rnacentral:rRNA from 1 species
AUUGAACGCUGGCGGCAUGCUUUACACAUGCAAGUCGAACGGUAACAGGGUGCUUGCACCGCUGACGAGUGGCGAACGGGUGAGUAAUGCGUCGGAACGUGCCGAGUAGUGGGGGAUAACGCAUCGAAAGGUGUGCUAAUACCGCAUACGUACUGAGGUAGAAAGUGGGGGACCUUCGGGCCUCACGCUAUUCGAGCGGCCGACGUCUGAUUAGCUAGUUGGUGAGGUAAAGGCUCACCAAGGCGACGAUCAGUAGCGGGUCUGAGAGGAUGAUCCGCCACACUGGGACUGAGACACGGCCCAGACUCCGACGGGAGGCAGCAGUGGGGAAUUUUGGACAAUGGGCGCAAGCCUGAUCCAGCCAUGCCGCGUGUCUGAAGAAGGCCUUCGGGUUGUAAAGGACUUUUGUCCGGGAGCAAAUACCCAGUGCUAAUAACGCUGGGGGCUGAGAGUACCGGAAGAAUAAGCACCGGCUAACUACGUGCCAGCAGCCGCCGUAAAAC